UUUUUACAAAACAUAUAGAGAGAGAGAGAGAGAGAGAGAGCUCCUAUCAAACCUCUCUUCUUUGAUCGCCCUUCUUCGUCCUCGACCAUCACCAGCAGUUGAUUUUUGUUAGAUAUUUUUAAAGAAAUAGAGCUAAACAAUGAUUGAAGGUCCAUAUGGAAGCAAAUAGCAAAAAAAUGGGAAUCAAAACAAAAGAUUAGAGACUCUGUGUCAUGUGCCGCGGCGCAUGCACAGUGCGUCGCGGCAUGUGGCACAGAGAUCGAAGUCUUGAAGAUGCAUGUGUGCCGCGGCGCAUGGCCUUAAUUUUGCUGUGCGUUUUGAGCUUCAGAACAAAAAAAUUAGGGUAGAAAAACCAUAAACGCGCCUGCAGACGGGAGACCAUGACUUGGAGAGAUUCUUUGAAGUUUGCUCUGCUAGGGUUUGGGGUUCUUGAAGAAGAUUUGGCCAAGGAUUGAAAAUUUGAAGAGAUUCAAGUGGAUUUCUUUCGGUUUUUCUUCUUCUCUUCCCUUUUCUCUCUUUGUUUCUAAUAUGGAUGCUAUAUAUUGUAAUAUUUAUGGCUCUGUUCUGAAUAUGAGUAGCUAGUUCCCUUGUUCUAGGAUUAUUUCAACCCUUUGUAUGGAUUAAUACUUGGAUAUUCCUCUCUUUUGGUAGUUAAUGAUAUAUAUGUGCUUAUUUUA